AUUUGAUUUUUUAUGCUCUGUUCAGAAAUUAUUGAAUGAUUAUUGAAUGUUUUAUGUUUUUGUUGAAUGAUUAUUUGAUUCUUGAUUAGCACCAGAUACUCUGCUGUGUUUGUGUACUAUUUUUGAAUGAAAAUUUAUGUACUAUGUUUGUGAUUUUUUUGGGUAAUUCAACAGGUUAGAAAUAAACUUGCUGUUUAAUAAUAUUUCUUCCAUUGUAAAUCUAGGUAGUUUCAAUAGGAAGCAGAUAUAAAAAGCAGACCUUUCAAGUCUGUGCGAGUCGCUGUCCAUGUCCUGGAAUCAAAAAUAAAAAAUCAAAGAAAUAGAAAAGAAGCAGGUAGAUCAUAUUUUCAACUAAAAUUACUACCAGGAUUAUUUCCAUUUGAAAGAAGUUACUUACUUCACAUCAAGCAUGGCUUCAGGCCAUUGGUUUAAGACAAUCAUUCGAUUAAGAAAAUCAAAACAAAGCAGAUCAAAGAAAUCAAAGGUACAACACACUUUCUUUGUGUCAAAUUUACCUUCAUUAAUAACUCAUCCUAGUUCAGGAUUUCAUUGCAUGAGAGUCAAAAUGAUUAUGUAAAACUAUGUAGUACCACUAUGUAGAGAGAUUUGAAGUUCAUGUAUGUCUUACUACCAAGAAGGCCGAUACAAAUGUAGUACCACUAUGUAGUAUCACUUUGUUUAUUUAUAUUUUAUUUAUUAUUUUAUUAUAAAACGGUUUUUACGGUUCAA